rnacentral:snoRNA from 1 species
UAUAAGUGAUGAUUCUCCGUCCUUGCGCUCCGAGUUCUUUUUAAGAGCAAAGACGAAUCUCUUGGUACUUGUUUCUGCGCGGCAGAGGCAAGCUGAUU